rnacentral:rRNA from 1 species
AUUGAACGCUGGCGGCAGGCCUAACACAUGCAAGUCGAACGAGUGGCGGACGGGUGAGUAAUGUCUGGGAAACUGCCUGAUGGAGGGGGAUAACUACUGGAAACGGUAGCUAAUACCGCAUACCAUCAGAUGUGCCCAGAUGGGAUUAGCUGGUUGGUGGGGUAACGGCUCACCAAGGCGACGAUCCCUAGCUGGGCUGAGAGGAUGACCAGCGACACUGGGACUGAGACAAGGUCCAGACUCCUACGGUAGGCAGAAGUGGGGAAUAUUGCACAAUGUGCGCAAGCCUGAUACAGCCAUGCCGCGUGUAUGAAGAAGGCCUUCGGGUUGUAAAGUACUUACAGCGGGGAGGCGGAACCAGCAGAAGAAGCACCGGCUAACUCCGUGCCAGCAGCCGCGGUAAUUC